rnacentral:rRNA from 1 species
GAUGAACGCUAGCGGCAGGCUUAACACAUGCAAGUCGAGGGGUAUAGUAGCAAUACUAGAGACCGGCGCACGGGUGCGUAACGCGUAUGCAACCUACCUUUUACAGAGGGAUAGCCCCAGAGAAAUUUGGAUUAAUACCUCAUAGUGUUAUUAGAUGGCAUCAUUUGAUAACUAAAGUUCCAACGGUAAAAGAUGGGCAUGCGUCCUAUUAGCUAGAUGGUAAGGUAACGGCUUACCAUGGCUACGAUAGGUAGGGGUCCUGAGAGGGAGAUCCCCCACACUGGUACUGAGACACGGACCAGACUCCUACGGGAGGCAGCAGUGAGGAAUAUUGGACAAUGGGCGCAAGCCUGAUCCAGCCAUGCCGCGUGCAGGAAGAAGCAUCUAUGGUGUGUAAAACUGCUUUUGUACGGGAAGAAACACUCCUACGUGUAGGAGCUUGACGGUACCGUAAGAAUAAGGAUCGGCUAACUCCGUGCCAGCAGCCGCGGU